AGUCAUAACAUAGCACAACUUGAAUUAGACAGCAGAAAACCUGCAAUUUCUGUGUGAUGUGAGGCAAAAUGGACUCUAUUGUGGUGGAACUUGUUCUUGUGCAUUAUGUUGUGGAGACGAGACGCAGCACUGUUCAGCACUUUUUCAGAAAAUUACAUUUGUAUUUUUAUAUAUCUGAGCAAUGUUCUUUCACAAAAAAAGGUUUGUUUAAUUAAUACAGAUCUUAACCAUACAUAAUCUGUAUAUAUUUUAUUUUUUUGUUAAAAGACUUGAAAAGACUCAAAUUAAACUGUAGGGCUUUGCACUUGACUUGAGACUUGUUGCCUUUGACUUGGAACUUGACUCUGGACUUGAGGGCAAUGAAUUGAGACUAACUUGUGACUUGCCAAACAAUGACUUGAUCCCACCUCUAAGUCAUACUUGCCUUUCUUUGAGUGAUCUGCAUAAUCUAGCCCACGUACGGUGCGCGAUAGCCUUGGCUGAGAAGGCUGUGCAGUGCAGCACGCAGCCACUCAAUGAGGAAACAGAGAUUGACUGCAUCAGAAAUGCAUUCAUAUUCCGCAAUGACGAGAAACAAUAUAGAUCACACCACCCAACACAUGUAGACCAAAGUAACGAGCGUGAUUUAGAAGUGUCAGGAGUAGAGGGUACACAUAUUUGUGUAAAAAUGUGAGGAGUAAAAGUAAAAAUUUGCCAAAAAAUAAAUAGUGGAGUGAAGUACCCAGAUAUUAGAGUGGCAUUGAUUCACUGUAAUUCUGUCAGAGCCAUCAUUUCGGUUGAGGUUGAAUAUUCAGCAUUGAAUUAAAUUAUAAAUCAACAUUGAUAAUUCAAACACUGAACAUUGUUGAAAAUACUGACAUUGAAUAGCUGCUGAUAAUUCAACUAUUUGCCUGUGGUUCUUUGAGCUGAACGGUCAGAGUCACAGCACUGUAAAAAUAUUCAUUGUUGUUGUACAAUUUCACAGACAUCACAAGUCUCCCAGAAGUUGCGGGAGUAUCCUACAAAUGCAUAGAGACUCUUGGAUGCCUGCAAAUGAAUAAUAAUCUCUCAGAAAUUGCGCGUCUCCCGCCCAGUCCUGAAAUACGAUGUACACCUCGCUCUCCCUGCAUCCCUCCCAGUUCUUCAGGUAUGUCGCGCGCAACUCACCCCACCACUCUCCAGGUACGUUUCGUGUGCAACUCGCCCCCAAUGCUCUUCAGGUUCACAACUUGCAUCCUACAACAUCCAGAGUAAGCACAACUGUGAGGGAGACACCAUCCAUGGCAUGGCUGAGGGUCCACACUGAGCAUCUCAUCCGCAGCAUGAAGCAACACAGGAUGGACAGUCAUCAUCUCUUUCUUUUACAGUGAGCACCAACUGGAUUUACACAAUGGCUUGCCUUCUGCAUGAGUAAAAGCUUGAGCUAAAGAUUACAGAGUUCACACGCUGUACAUAAUGUAUAUGUUGUUGCCUGCACUGCAGAAAUAUAAAGUUGUCAAUAUAAGAAACAUUCAUUUUCAACAUAAUCAUUUACACAUAUAUAACAACAAUUUCUGUGAACAAUUGCUCUGCACUAAUGUAAACAUGAAUAACUUUAGAGAGAAACAUGCAAUGCUUUCCUCCAUCAAAUGUACUGCCUCUGUCUUUUCACAAAAUCAAGCAGGCAACUACCGUCAGAAUCCAAGUGAUGCUCAAGUGCUGGUUGUAUUUAAUUACAUUUCAUGUUAGCCUUUUAAAAUAAGAUAAUGUUUUAAAUAUAAAAUUACAAGAAUAAUGCAAAAUGCAUUUGUUUUAAAAAUAUAAUGAAUAUAACCCCACCUCCAACUCAUUUACAAUAAGGACAACCCUGAAAUCUGUAAAUAUGAGUUGCCAGACAUUUGCACUGCAGUAAUGUAAAACGUAACUUUAGACAUUUGCACUGCAGUAUAAAUAUAAAUAAUGACAUUUCCCUUACAGCGAUGUGUUAAAAUACAACAUUAAACAAUUGUUAAAUAAGAAGUUGUGUGAGUGUUUUGUUCAAAUCUGCAGUCAUUUCUGCAGGUGAAAGUAAAAAAAAAGAAAGAUGAAAAGAAAGAAAUGGUCAGCUUCUUCUGAAACAUUUAAUGUGUUUUGUAGAUGAGCUGGAUCAUCAUGUCAUCCUGAGAAUAAAUAACCUCACACUCAAACUAUGCAGCUUCUCUGACUCCAUCAUCGACCCGAAACGCGUCACGCUGAUCUCUCCUGUCCUUACAGGAAACCUGGAGACCUAUAGUUAACAACUCAUACUAGUUCAUACUUCUGGAAAUUAGGGACACCAUGUACAUAUAUGUAAAUGGAUAUAUAUUCAGAAGGAUAGAAAUGAUACAGGUAAUUAAAAUUAACAUAAAAAUCAAUAUGAACUGUGAGAAACAGACACGGCUAACAAUUUAUUGCUAUUCGUAUAUAAAGCAUGACGAUACUCGCCCUCUCAAUGAUGAAUGUAACUCGAAAUGUAGAAGUUGAACCUCUUCUCUUCUUUGCUUGAUGUGACAGCGCUCUCCUAGAAACAGCGAGUGUUAUCUAUCAUCCUCACCUGCGCUAUCCGCUUAAAGUGAGUGAGCGCCGUGCUGCACCGGAGGUGUCAUGUGGACUAACCGCAAACAUGGAAGAGAUCGUGCGUAGAGUCCAUUAAAUGUUAGUAGUAGUCGAGUUGAACUGUCAUGGAUAUUAUACUUGGCAUACUUAUACUAUGAAUAUAAAUCUCAUCAAGUCGCAGAUUCAGCCAAGUUCACUUCUUUUCUGAUCAUCAACAGCUGCUCAUGUGAAGAUAUAAAGGUGAGUUGCUCUUCCACAGUCCUACAAUUCUUCUCAUCAGUUUGAGUCAUUAAAGCAAUUAAUACUUCAAUUAUUGAAAUAUGUGUCUGCUACUUUACCAAUAGGAGAUCAGGAGUUUUACUUAAUGAACCCUUGAGAACAGAGUGAAUUUCACACGAUGUUAUCACAAAUGAAAUAUUCAGAGUAGAUUUGGAGUCAGAGAGUUUUAUAAGGUUCACUGAUAUUUUGUUUAUGUUGAUUUCCAGGUUCUGUCAUUUUGGUCAUAAGUACAAGAUACAGAACUCUGCUGGACCCUCUGUACCUCAGACAGGAGAUGACCGUAAACUAAAGUUAAGGAGGAGUCUGCCUAAAAAAUAGAUUUAAAUGAUGGAGAGCACUGAAACUGUUCCCUAUACAACCUUCAGAUCACCAUGCACACCAGGAACGCAGACAGACUGGAUGUCAGAGAUAACAUUACUCGUCUACAUCGUGUCAUUGACAGUGAUGAGGAAAUAACUGCUCCACUGCUGAAUCUGCUUCAGCCAGCUGAUGGUGAGAAGGACAUGUCCAGCGUGGGCAUCGUGAAGAUGCUUUUGCAACAUAUUUUGAACUUUAUGCUUUGACCAUGAACUAUUGCAGAAGAAGACGCACCUCUGCAGCAAAUGUGUAUGAAGAUUUAUAAUCUGCAUUAUUGUUCAGGAGCGAUGUUGAUGUGAUGUGAUCUUCCAGAAGAGUGUUUUGAAUAUUGUAGUUAGGUAAUUAAAUAUGGUAGUAAUAUUUAAAUAUUGUAAUACGUUGGAAUAUUUGGAGAAAAUACAGAAAGUACACUAAAAUUGAACACGCUUUCGAAGCAGACAGAAGUUUUACUCGACAUAAACUAUUUAUUUUGUGGAUUAUUUAGUUUUACUUAUUUAAGUUCAACUAACAUUUGUUAAAACUGCAUCCUACAACAUUUUCCCAAAACUUCAUUUAUUUCCUCACAGGUUUGCUGAAGUCGUUGGUUGAGUUAGCUGAACUUUUCUAAAUACUGAAGGUAAAACAAACAAAAUAAAUCAUCUGAGUUUAAGUGGAGGUAAAUGAUUGUCUGCAGUGUGAGGUAUAGACUUCCUUUUCUCUUCACUUUAAUCUCUUUAUCAUGGUUGUAAUAACAUUAUUUCAGAUGCCAAACUGUCUAAAAUCACUGCUGAGUUUUACUGCUGUUUCAGUGAUAGUGUGGUGGAUGUUUGAACUUUUAUUAAAUGUUGAUUUUCCUCGGUCUGCUAUCUGGGUACAGACACCAGAAACAUCUACUGAAGUACAGGAAACAACUAUUCACAUCAUUACAUCUCUGGACAGGUGGCGCUGUGGAGCGUGUGUUUGUAUGUUCUCCGCAUUCGCACUCGCAGAAGGAGUUUCAGCGCUGGGCGCCAUUACCGGGGCUGUGAUGAUGUGACUGUGGACAUCUCGGCUGCUGUAAAUGCGGUAAAUGUGAAUAUUGCGGUAAUUAUUGCGGUAAUUAUUGCGGUACAUGUGAAUAUCUCCGCUGAUGUCCACGAAAGGGUGGAGCCCGGAGGCGGAGCGCGCGCUGGUGCAGCUGUGGCAGCAGUCCGCCUGCCUCUAUGAUCUCUCCGCCGCCGACUACCACAACCGAGAGGAGAAGGAGCGCCGGUGGAGAGAGGUGGCGGAGACCCUGCACAUGUCCAGUGAGUGUGUGUGCGCGCGUGCGAGAGAGAGAGUGUUUGUUU